rnacentral:rRNA from 1 species
AUACGGAGGGUGCAAGCGUUAUUCGGAAUCACUGGGCGGAAAGGGUGCGUAGGCGGUUUGAUAAGUCUGAUGUGAAAUCCUAUGGCUCAACCAUAGAACUGCAUUGGAAACUGUCAGACUAGAAUACUGAAGGGGCAGAUGGAAUUAGUGGUGUAGGGGUAAAGUCCGUAGAUAUCACUAGGAAUACCGAAAGCGAAAGCGAUCUGCUGGGAAGUUAUUGACGCUGAGGCACGUAAGCGUGGGGAGCAAACGGGAUUAGAAACCCUAGUAGUCC